rnacentral:rRNA from 1 species
GACGAACGCUGGCGGCGUGCUUAACACAUGCAAGUCGAACGGAGUGGCGAACGGGUGAGUAACACGUGGGUGAUCUGCCUUGCACUUCGGGAUAAGCUUGGGAAACUGGGUCUAAUACCGGAUAUUGCAAGAUGAGCUCUCGGCCUAUCAGCUUGUUGGUGGGGUAAUGGCCUACCAAGGCGUCUACGGGUAGCCGGCCUGCAAGGGUGUCCGGCCACAGUGGGACUGAGAUCCGGCCCAGACGCCUACGGGAGGAAGCAGUGGGGAAUAUUGCACAAUGGGCGGAAGCCUGAUGCAGCGACGCCGCGUGGGGGAUGAAGGCCUUCGGGUUGUAAACUCCUUUCGACUGGGACGCGGUACCUGUAUAAGAAGCACCGGCUAACUACGUGCCAGCAGCCGCGUAAUAC